UGGCCAGACUCCUACGGGAGGCAGCAGUGGGGAAUAUUGGGCAAUGGGCGCAAGCCUGACCCAGCAACGCCGCGUGAAGGAAGAAGGCUUUCGGGUUGUAAACUUCUUUUGACAGGGAAGAGCAGAAGACGGUACCUGUCGAAUAAGCCACGGCUAACUACGUGCCAGCAGCCGCGGUAAUACGGAGGAUGCGAGCGUUAUCCGGAUUUAUUGGGUUUAAAGGGUGCGUAGGCGGAAUGCCAAGUCAGCGGUAAAAUCGCGGGGCUCAACCUCGCUCCGCCGUUGAAACUGGCGUUCUUGAGUGGGCGAGAAGUAUGCGGAAUGCGUGGUGUAGCGGUGAAAUGCAUAGAUAUCACGCAGAACUCCGAUUGCGAAGGCAGCAUACCGGCGCCCAACUGACGCUGAAGCACGAAAGCGUGGGUAUCGAACAGGAUUAGAUACCCCAGUAU
rnacentral:rRNA from 1 species